rnacentral:rRNA from 1 species
GCCCUAGAUAAUAUCUAAGGUGUAACCUGCCCAAUGAUUUUAAAAUUAAAAUGUAUAAAAGACAUUUAAUAAAAUUUAAAGGACGCAGUAACCUUGACUGUGAUAAUGUAGCAUAAUCAUUCGCCAUUUAAUUGAUGGAUAGUAUGAAUGGUUGAACGAAUAUUCCACUGUCUUAGAGAAAAAACCCUCUAAAUUAAAGUAAUAGUUAAGAUGCUAUUUUAAAUUGUAAGACGAAAAGACCCUAUAGAGCUUAACUAUAGUCUCAUUUAGAUAAAAGAAAAGAACAUUCUCAACUUAAAGAGACAGGUAGUUUAGUUGGGGCGACUAUCUUCUAAAAAUAACGAAGAGAAACAAAGUUAAUAAAAAACUUACUGUAUAAUUAAUAAAUUUAACAGUUACAAAAGUAGGUUAUAAUGACCCGUUAUAAAACCAUAACAAAUAUAACGAUCAAUAAAUAAAAGCUACCUUAGGGAUAACAGGAUAAUUUCAUCUUAGAGAUCCUAUCGAAAAUGAAGUUUGUCACCUCUAUGUUGAAUUAAGAUAUCCAGACAAUGCAGCAGUUGUCAAAGGUAGGUCUGUUCGACCUUUAAAAUCUU